UUUUAUCUCCGAUAACUGCCAGCGCUGUGAGCUGCGGCGCGGCCUUAAGGGCUGAGCCUGAGGCGGUCGCCAUGGGGAGCACAAGGAAACGGAGGCUCCGUGAUUGGCAUGGAGUCGGAAAAACGAACUUGAAAAGUAUAGCGGUUCGUUACCAUGAAAGAUGCAGGUGAAUCGCUAACUGAAACUGAGUUGCAGUUGACGCUCGGCGGAGGAAGCCUUCCAACAAAGGGCUCACAAGUGUGACAUCGGAGAGCCCGUCACCAAUUACGGAAACUGUUUUAAGCUUCACGACUGCCCAGUGACACCGGAUGUGUUGCAGACAUUGUGAUGAGACACUCAACGUGUUUGUGUUGUGUGCUCUCAGGAAACAAUGUCGGACGUGCGCACGUGUGUUGUAUAUGUAUAUGUGCAUA